AGAGUUUGAUCCUGGCUCAGGAUGAACGCUAGCGGCAGGCUUAAUACAUGCAAGUCGUGGGGCAGCGCGGGUAGCAAUACCUGGCGGCGACCGGCAAACGGGUGCGGAACACGUACGCAACCUUCCUUUAAGUGGGGGAUAGCCCAGGGAAACUUGGAUUAAUACCCCGUAACAUUACGGAGUGGCAUCACUUAGUAAUU
rnacentral:rRNA from 1 species